rnacentral:lncRNA from 1 species
CAGGAAGUUGUUGCAAAGCUUAUUUAGUUAAUGCAUAUUGUGCAAUUCAGGACCCUCGGAUUUGUCUGUGGGUUUCCAAGCUUAAUAUAUUAAUAUUAUGUCAUAUUAAUAUGUGAUUAUUUAUGUUGAUAUACUUUUAUCUGACUAGUGUGGUUCACAUCAGUAGCAAGCGAGCUGCAGGAUUUGUAGCCAGCCUGUCAUUUCUAAGACCAGAUUUGAUUCAUGGUCUCAUUUCCUGUUUUUCCUCCCACUGCUCACAGCUCCUUUUUUCCUUCUCCAUGGUCCAUUUAUUAAAUGUAGAGUUAGAAACACAAUUAGAAUUUACUCAAGUCUGAAUAUGAAUAUCUGAAUAUCUGAAUACGAAAUCUUUGGAACAAUAAAAAUUCUUUUCCAAACCUGUCUUAUCUAGCUUGCCUGUUCAGAUGAUGAGCUUGGCCUUCCCUACUGACUGAAUAAAUGAGAAAGAAGCAUGAUUCCAUCAAUUCCAAGCAAGGACAGUAGGAGAAAUUCUGAAAUUACCAAACACUGCUAUAAGACCUGCAAGUGCAAAAGCACAAUGUUAGGGGGAGAAGUUUCUCCAGCACACGGCUCAAAGCACUUAGCUUCUCAGCACUGCCCUUGGGGAACCAGUCUGUUUCUGCUGCCUGUAGAGAUGGGCAGACAAGUUGGCCAAGGUAAAUACCCACCUCACUGGACUCUUUGGUAUUUAGAUACAUGUAUAAGAACAGUAUUAUACAAAAUAACAUCUAAACAAUACUUCUCUAACUCACUAUCAGUGCAGCAAACAGGAAUGCUGUUCUUCCCCCUCCUCCUCCUCAUUUCAUUUGUACAACUGCCACCCUGGGUAUUGUAA